GUACAUCCAGGAGCCGGUGCAUGCCCAGUACUUGCCAGAGACGUGACCGAUCGCCCAAGCGGCUAACAAGCCGAUCAGUGGUGAAGAGGAUAAAAGAAAAGUAAAAGAACAUGUAGGUAAUAAGAGCCAGUACAGCUGUAAAAUGGGAAGAGACGUCGUUCGGUUCCUACUGUCGUUGACGACUGCGGCGUCGGCAAUGCAGUGUUGCACCGGAUGUGUUAACACGUCGCUGGACUUAACAACAAUCUCGGGGAUUUGCACACACAGAC